CAGCAGUGGGGAAUAUUGCACAAUGGGCGCAAGCCUGAUGCAGCCAUGCCGCGUGUGUGAAGAAGGCCUUCGGGUUGUAAAGCACUUUCAGUCAGGAGGAAAGGUUAGUAGUUAAUACCUGCUAGCUGUGACGUUACUGACAGAAGAAGCACCGGCUAACUCCGUGCCAGCAGCCGCGGUAAUACGGAGGGUGCGAGCGUUAAUCGGAAUUACUGGGCGUAAAGCGUACGCAGGCGGUUUGUUAAGCGAGAUGUGAAAGCCCCGGGCUCAACCUGGGAACUGCAUUUCGAACUGGCAAACUAGAGUGUGAUAGAGGGUGGUAGAAUUUCAGGUGUAGCGGUGAAAUGCGUAGAGAUCUGAAGGAAUACCGAUGGCGAAGGCAGCCACCUGGGUCAACACUGACGCUCAUGUACGAAAGCGUGGGGAGCAAACAGGAUUAGAUACCCUGGUAGUCCACGCCGUAAA
rnacentral:rRNA from 1 species